AGCAGUAGUGCUCAGUCACUGGGUUUGUUAUAUAGGUCACAGCAGUAGUGCUCAGUCACUGUUAUAUAGUCACAGCAGUAGUGCUCAGUCACUGGGUUUGUUAUAUAGUCACAGCAGUAGUGCUCAGUCACUGUUAUACAGGUCACAGCAGUAGUGCUCAGUCACUGUUAUAUAGGUCACAGCAGUAGUGCUCAGUCACUGGGUUUGUUAUAUAGUCACAGCAGUAGUGCUCAGUCACUGGGGUGUUAUAUAGUCACAGUAUUGUACUUACAGAGUUAUAGAUCAACAGUUGGCACCGCUCAGACCAGCCAAACC